AGAGUUUGAUCAUGGCUCAGAUUGAACGCUGGCGGCAUGCUUAAUACAUGCAAGUCGAACGGUAACAGAUUCUUCGGAAUGCUGACGAGUGGCGGACGGGUGAGUAAUACAUAGGAAUCUGCCCAUGUAGUGGGGGACAACUUGGGGAAACUCAAGCUAAUACCGCAUAAUUCCUACGGGAUAAAGAGGGCCACUGCUUGCAAGCUCUUGCUACUGGAUGAGCCUAUGUCGGAUUAGUUAGUUGGUAAGGUAAUGGCUUACCAAGACAGCGAUCCGUAGCUGGUUUGAGAGGAUGAUCAGCCACACUGGGACUGAGACACGGCCCAGACUCCUACGGGAGGCAGCAGUAGGGAGUAUUGGACAAUGGGCGCAAGCCUGACCCAGCAAUGCCGCGUGUGUGAAGAAGGCCUGCGGGUUGUAAAGCACUUUCAAUUGGGAAGAAAGAUUAUGAGUUAAUACCUUAUAAUAUUGACGU
rnacentral:rRNA from 1 species